GAUGGGUUCCCCUUCGGGGAGCCAAAGGAGCCCAAAGGGGACACCAAACUCUUAGAGCCGAAGGGGUUCCCCUUCGGGGAUGGUAUCCCCUUUGGCUCCCUUUGGUCACCCCCUUGUCCCUACUUGUUCAUCAUUAUCUUUAUUUUAAUGAUGAAAAUGAUGACAACCCUUUGGUUCCCCUUUGGGAUGACACCCCUUCGGUUUCCCCUUUGGCUCCCCGAAGGGGAACCCAUCCCCUUUAGUUCAUCCCCUAAAGGGGAACUAAAGGGGAAGAAGAAGACGUAGGGGACGCACUCAUAAGGCUUCGCCCCCCCCCUGGUUAAGCAAAAAAUACGGCCACGUUGUUGGCGGUCUUCUUCCCCUAAAGGGGAACUAAAGGGGAACCCUUGUCCCCUCUGGUUGUCUUCCCCGAAGGUGACAAGAAGGUAACCCGAAGGCGAACCCGAAGGUAACCCGAAGGCGAACCCGAAGGUAACCCAAAGGUUGUCUUCAUCCCCUUUAGUUCGUCCCCUUUAGGGGAACCAAAGGGGAAGAACUAAAGGGGAACCCCUUUAGUUCUUCCCCUAAAGGGGAUGAACUUUAGGGGAUGAACUAAAGGGAAUGACAACCUAGGGGAUAGCCGAAGGGGGAAGCCUUCCCCUUUGGGCUCCCCGAAGGGGGAAGUCCCCUUCGGGUUCCAUACCCUUUAGUUCUUCAUCCCCUAAAGGGGAANN
rnacentral:lncRNA from 1 species